AGCAGCCGCGGUAAUUCCAGCUCCAAUAGCGUAUAUUAAAGUUGUUGCAGUUAAAAAGCUCGUAGUUGAAUUUCGGGAUUAGUAGUCUGGUCGUGCCACUGGUAUGUACUGGUCUUACUGAUUUCUCCUUCUUGAAGAACCGUAAUGUCAUUAAUUUGUUGUUGCGGGGAAUCUGGACUGUUACUUUGAAAAAUUAGAGUGUUUAAAGCAGGCUAACGCUUGAAUACAUUAGCAUGGAAUAAUGAAAUAGGACGUUCGAUCCUAUUUUGUUGGUUUCUAGGAUUGACGUAAUGAUUAAUAGGGAUAGUUGGGGGCAUUAGUAUUCAAUUGUCAGAGGUGAAAUUCUUGGAUUUAUUGAAGACUAACUACUGCGAAAGCAUUUGCCAAGGAUGUUUUCAUUAAUCAAGAACGAAAGUUAGGGGAUCGAAGACGAUCAGAUACCGUCGUAGUCUUAACCAUAAACUAUGCCGACUAGGGAUCGGAUGAUGUUAAUUUUAUAAUGACUCAUUCGGCGCCUUAA
rnacentral:rRNA from 1 species